CACUAAAUUUGACACUUUUGAUUCUGAUUUUGAUUCAUGACUUCAAUUAACCAAUAUGUUUCUACUCAUUAGUUUAGGUGUUUGUUCAUUUGAUUUCAGUUUCCUUAUUUUUUAUUUGAGUUUUGUUUAGAUUGUAUUAUAUCUGUUCUGUUUCAUUUGUAGUAAGUAGAUUUUGUUGCUGUUUUGAUACUGUUAUUUUCUUUUCGUUCAUUACAUUUCAAAUUCUCUAUUCUUUUAAUUAGAUUUUAGUUUAGAUUAGUUUUCAAAUCUUUUAUUUCAUUCUUUCAUUUUUUAUUUCCCCAC
rnacentral:lncRNA from 1 species